rnacentral:rRNA from 1 species
GGAUCAAUUUGUUGGUCGUGCCUCGGUACGUACUGGCAUUAUUGGUUUCUACCUUCUGAAGAACCUUGAUGUCAUUAAUUUGGUGUCUUGGGGAAUCAGGACUGUUACUUUGAAAAAAUUAGAGUGUUUAAAGCAGGCAUACGCUUGAAUACAUUAGCAUGGAAUAAUGAAAUAGGACGUUUGAUUCUAUUUUGUUGGUUUCUAGGAUCGACGUAAUGAUUAAUAGGGAUAGUUGGG